GAGCCGGUUAAAGUCCAUGGUAGAGCAAAAUGGGAAGUUCUAUAAGAAGAACGUAGAGUGUAUAUCGAGUUUGAUGUCUCAGAUCAAGUCAAUGUAUGAUGAAUUGAAGUCAGAACAUGAGAAGAACAGUCAAUCUCUUGUGGAGUUACUUCAACAGAGUUUCGGAGAAUGUGAAAAUAGUGUCGGAAUGCAAC